rnacentral:rRNA from 1 species
UUGAACGCUGGCGGAAUGCUUUACACAUGCAAGUCGAACGGCAGCACGGGAGCUUGCUCCUGGUGGCGAGUGGCGAACGGGUGAGUAAUGCGUCGGAACGUACCGAGUAAUGGGGGAUAACGCAGCGAAAGCUGUGCUAAUACCGCAUACGCCCCGAGGGGGAAAGCAGGGGAUCGCAAGACCUUGCGUUAUUCGAGCGGCCGACGUCUGAUUAGCUGGUUGGUGGGUAAAGGCCUACCAAGGCGACGAUCAGUAGCUGGUCUGAGAGGAUGAUCCGCCACACUGGGACUGAGACACGGCCCAGACUCCUACGGGAGGCAGCAGUGGGGAAUUUUGGACAAUGGGGGCAACCCUGAUCCAGCCAUUCCGCGUGAGUGAAGAAGGCCUUCGGGUUGUAAAGCACUUUUCGGGAGGAUGAGGAAGGACGGUACUCCCGGAAUAAGUCUCGGCUAACUACGU